GCAGAUUAAAACAACACAGGGAAGGGAUUGCCUAUGUGCCUGAUUGAUUUUUUACUCUGCCAUUUCAAUUUCCCUCUAUUUCGUCAUCAGUCAGAAGGUUGGUGCUGUUUAAAGGGGAAAAAAAAGCUCUAAGUGUCCCCUUCUCCCAAAAAAAGGAACCAGAAAAUGACAAGAAGAGUUGCAUUUGUCUAUGAAAGUGCAUAGAAAGCUUUUCCUGGAAAAGAAUAAACUGGGAAAAGAUGAGUCCUUGAAGUAGAACCCUGUCAUAGUGCAACAAACUGAAUUUAAGAGGCAUCCGUUCCCAGCUUAUACAACAUCCAGUACCAGUUCCACAGCCAACAAUGGAUAGAUUUGGUCUUCCUUGAAGCAUUUAGAGACCUGUAGAAUGAACUUAACUUCUGAAAACUGGGUGCGGGGCCAAUAGAGGGGCUGCUCGAUACCUCACCAGCCUGCUAUGCGGAAGGCUAGAUGGAGGGGCUGCUAAAGGAAGAGAACUGCUGUUCCAACUCCGCCUCCUCCCUGCAGUGUGGCUUCUUAGAAAAGGAGAUACCGCUGGCCCUCCAUAUUCACAAGCUCUGCAUCUGUGGGUUCAGCCAACUAUGGAUCGAAAUAUGCAACUUCAUAUUAUCUUCAUUCAGGAGGGAGAACCCUGAGUUCUUCUGGGUUGGAUCUAAGCAUGUAAGACUAUUGAGUUACAUUUGACUUCUGAAGUCAGUUUUUGUCUUUACUUUUUAGUCAGCUUGUGAAAGCAAAAAGCAUCUUAUUUUUAAAAUACCUGUGUUAGUACCC
rnacentral:sRNA from 1 species